AGUCCACUUUAUUUAAAUAAACUGAGGAGCGUCUGUUGAACAACUACAUAAGAUAAUGCUAAGAUAUAUAUCGAAGUAUAUUCUCUGAUACCUGUUCAGUGGUAUUUUUUAAAUACCUAACAACGGGAAUUCCCUUAAAGUAGGAAUUAACUAUCUAAAUAAUGGUUAUGAGAAUGGUAUAACGACUUCUCUAUUGUCUCCACUAAAUCCUUUUUGAAAUAGUCGUAGAUUUGAAUAGAAAUCUUGAUAUACUGUGACGGAGAGACCCCGUGCACCUUUACUUCUCUUAAAUAAGUUUUGC
rnacentral:rRNA from 1 species